GAUUGAGAUGGGGGAAAGGAGUGGGUUGUUGCUGGUGUUCAUACCUAGGUGAAAGACUCUCCAGAGAGGCUCUAAGGGUGCUGCAAUCCUCUUCAGUUCAAAACAAGUUCAAUAAACACUCUCAAGACAUAUGAACCGUGAAGGGUUAUGCUGAUUUAGUACCUACUGGUGUAGCGUUUAUUGGGAGCAUCACUCAAGAAAGAAAUAAGAAAUUUCCUCAUUUCAAUUGCUUUGAGAAGCAUUUUGUGACCUACCUAGGACAGCUGCAAAACUGCACAGAAAGUUCAGAAACAUGAAUAAUGCUUUCUCAUUCUGAAUGGGCUGUACCAUCUUCACUCUUACUUUGCUUCAUAGCACUGAGACAGCUUGUUGAGAUGACAAGGAAGAAGCUGAGACACGGAGGGUCAGUAAUCUGUCUUCUGCAUGCCAGGUAGUGUCAAAUGUAGGGUAAACACCCAAGAUUACCUGGCCCUCAGGACUCUACUUUUGGUGCAUAAGGUAGGCUGCAUUCCUGUCUUCCCACAGAAGUAGAAACCACAUGGGGCAUGCAAUGUCUUCUACUAAUCGGACCUUAAGGGUUCUUUCUCCUCUUGGAAAACUCCUUUGCCCUGCUUCUCCUGUAACAAGACACUGGAAUAUUGGUGAGGAGAUAGUUGGCUAAGAAACCCCUGCAAAUAAACUCCUGGAAUUGCAUGGCAGUAACAAGAUGACUUUAGCAGGCAGCUGCCUUGUCUGUUUGAGACUUACUCUGCAAAAAAACAAGUAUGUCAGGUCAAUCUGCAUAUUUUGAGGUUUGAUGUCCCACCCUCUCAAAGAAGUGAUGUGGGAAGAACUCUUCUGGGAAAACUCCUUCCCCAGGCUUAUUACUGUAGGGUUUUCUGUGGGAAGCAGUGAGACUUUCCCAUCCUCUCCUUUACCCCAUGUGUUGCUCU